CCGGCGCACGGGUGAGUAACGCGUAUCCAACCUGCCUUACACUCUUGGGCAGCCUUCUGAAAGGGAGAUUAAUACAAGAUGUUAUCAUGAGUAAGCAUUUUCACAUGAUUAAAGGUUUACCGGUGUAAGAUGGGGAUGCGUUCCAUUAGAUAGUAGGCGGGGUAACGGCCCACCUAGUCUUCGAUGGAUAGGGGUUCUGAGAGGAAGGUCCCCCACAUUGGAACUGAGACACGGUCCAA
rnacentral:rRNA from 1 species